CCUACGGGUGGCAGCAGUGAGGAAUAUUGCUCAAUGGAGGCGAGUCUGAACCAGCCAAGUCGCGUGAAGGAUGACUGCCCUCUGGGUUGUAAACUUCUUUUUUAAGGGAAUAAAACGAGGCACGUGUGCCUUUUUGCACGUACUUUCUGAAUAAGGAUCGGCUAACUCCGUGCCAGCAGCCGCGGUAAUACGGAGGAUCCGAGCGUUAUCCGGAUUUAUUGGGUGUAAGGGGAGCGUAGAUGGGUUGUUAAGGCAGUUGUGAAAGUUGGGGGCUCAACCGUAAAAUUGCAAUUGAUACUGGCAGUCUUGAGUACAGGUGAGGCAGGCGGAAUUCGUGGUGUAGCGGUGAAAUGCUUAGAUAUUGCGAAGAACCCCGAUGGCGAAGGCAGCUUACUAAACUGUAACUGACGUUGAUGCUCGAAAGUGUGGGUAGCAAACAGGAUUAGAUACCCCAGUAGUC
rnacentral:rRNA from 1 species